GACAGAGGAGGCAAGCGUUAUCCGGAAUUAUUGGGCGUAAAGGGUACGUAGGCGGCUGGUCAAGUCUGGGGUUAAAGGCCACAGCUCAACUGUGGGAAGGCCCUGGAAACUGACUGGCUAGAGUGAGGUAGGGGUUGCGGGAAUUCCCGGUGUAGCGGUGAAAUGCGUAGAGAUCGGGAAGAACACCUGAGGCGGAAGCGCGCAACUGGGCCUCAACUGACGCUGAGGUACGAAAGCUAGGGGAGCGAAUGGG
rnacentral:rRNA from 1 species